UCCGUCGCCUUCGACAAGGGUGUGUGGAGCGGCCGAGCGGACGGAGCCCGGUGCCCCCUGCCCCGGGACAUUUUCUCUAGAGGCCGCGGCCCGGGGUCGCACAGCGGCGGGAUGUGAGUGUGGAGGGAACGGGGCCCGGGAAGCUCUGACAUCGGGGCUCGGGAACGUGGGCCCGGACGCUGCCGCCGCUUGAUUCUCUUCUCCGGGAAGGCACAGACGUUAUUUUUUCUGAUCGUCCGGCCCAGGCUGGUGAACAGGGGCCCUCAGCCGCGAAGAAGCAGGCCCUCUUCACGGGAGCCUCUCCCCGGGUCCAGGUCUCUCCGAGUCCCGACCCAUCCAGACGCCGGCCUCGCCUCUCCAGCUCCGCCCCUGACUCCACCUCGGGCGCCUCGAGGCCGCAAGACCCGGAGCUCAGCCCGGACCCCCGCCAUGGGGCUCCGCCUCCCUCUCCCACCCCCUCACACCCCCAAAGGCUCUUGGCCGGCUCUGGUCCACUCGGGACCGUCAAUUCUGGGGAAGGGCGGGAGGAGUCUUUUGGGGCAGGGGCUGGACAGGGGCGGGACUUACUUGGGCCGGGGAGGGACCACUGGAGUGCUAAGAGGAGGGGGCCUCAGACCCCAAGCCUACUGCCUCUCAGUACCAGGCGGCGAAGCUGAGGUGCAGGUUGGGCCUGGGGAUUUCUGGAGCGGAGGGCUUUAAGGAGGAAGCUAAUGUGACUGUCAGGGCCCUGGGAAACAUCGUCGGGGCUGAAUGGCAGCCCCUGCUCACCCGCUUACCAAUAGUGUAUCCUGGGCAGGACGACUCU